rnacentral:rRNA from 1 species
GAUGAACGCUAGCGGCAGGCCUAACACAUGCAAGUCGAGGGGUAACAGGGUAGCAAUAUCGCUGACGACCGGCGCACGGGUGAGUAACGCGUAUGUAACCUUCCUUUAACUGGGGCAUAGCCCGGAGAAAUUCGGAUUAAUACCCCAUAACAUUGCGAAGAGGCAUCUUUUGCAAUUAAAGCUCCGGCGGUUAAAGAUGGGCAUGCGUGCCAUUAGCUAGUUGGUGAGGUAACGGCUCACCAAGGCUACGAUGGUUAGGGGGUCUGAGAGGAUGAUCCCCCACACUGGUACUGAGACACGGACCAGACUCCUACGGGAGGCAGCAGUGAGGAAUAUUGGGCAAUGGGCGCAAGCCUGACCCAGCCAUGCCGCGUGAAGGAUGAAUGCCCUAUGGGUUGUAAACUUCUUUUGUACGGGACGAAUCUCUCGAACGUGUUCGGGACUGACUGUACCGUGCGAAUAAGCAUCGGCUAACUCCGUG